GCCGUUGGCAGAAACCUGCUUUUCAAUUCUGACGCUUCCAACCAUGCAUAAGUCGUAUGAAGAAUUCAAGAAAUAUUUGGAUAUAGCACUCCUACAUGGUUCCAUGGGAAUUGACCGUUCGUAGGUGAUCAGCUAAUGGUGCUCCACAAAAGCGUGCAAACUACAAAAGUGUGCAAUAUUACACACUCGAUACGGAUACUUGCUACUACAGUAUUCUUAUAUACAUUUUUUGUUGUUUUGUUACUGAAAUAGUCCCAUGGAAAAGGGUGAACCAUUUAGUACGUACAUCACGCAUAGCAGCUUUUGCAUGUGCCUAUCUAUAUGUAUUCUAUGUCAUUCCUAUUGUGCUUUGCGUCCAAUGUGGAGCUUAGUUUUUCAUUUUUUGGCGUACAGCACAUAAUAAAUGGGUUGCCCCCUAACGAUAAUAAAUGGGUUGCCCCCAAAGGACAAAAGUUGUAAACCUUGAAACUUGUAUUUGAAUUCUUGUGGCACUCGUUUCUAAGCAAUGUGGGUGUUAACAAAUUCCAUUGUCUCCAAAUAUAUAUCAAUCCCAUACGAGUUACUUUCCCUAAGUGGAUCUAUUGUAGCGACGAGUUCAUCAAGAUGUUCUUGAGACAGUGGACAAGUUGUUUCUGGGACUUCAACUG
rnacentral:lncRNA from 1 species